UUCCGGUUGAUCCUGCCGGAGAUCACCGUUAUCAGUGUUCGACUUAGCCAUGCGAGGCGAGAGCUCUUUGGGCUCGCCGAACUGCUCAGUAACGCGUAGUUAACAUACCCUCAAGUGAAGGAUAUUCUCGCGAAAGUGAGGCUAAUACUUCAUAGCUGUUAAAUGCUGGAAUGCUUUAACAGUUAAAGCUGAGGCGCUUGAGGAUUGGACUGCGAUCUAUCAUGGCUGUUGUGAGUGUAAAGUACUCACAAACCUGUAACGGAUAGGGGUCAUGAAAGUGGGAGCCUCGAGAUGCCUUCUGAGACAUGAAGGCAGGUCCUACGGGACGCAGCAGGUGCGAAAACUUUCCAAUUCCUGCAAGGGUGAGAAGGGAAUUCUGAAUGGUUAUGCAAUGCAUAACCUUUUAUCUUGUCUAAAAAGCAAGAUGAAUAAGUGGUGGGUAAGACGGGUGGCAGCCGCCGCGGUAAUACCCGCGCCACAAAUGGUGAUCACUUUUAUUUGGUCUAAAGGGUCCGUAGCCGGUUCAGCAAGUUCUUAGGGAAAUCUGCUAGCUAACUAGCAGGCUUUCUGAGAAUACUAUUGAACUUGGGAUUGGGAUAGGAUAGAGGUAUUCCAUGUGUAGGGGUUAAAUCCUUUAAUCCAUGGAAGACCUCCGGUGGCGAAGGCGUCUAUCUAGAACAAGUCCGACGGUGAGGGACGAAAGUAUGGGGAGCAAACGGGAUUAGAUACAAACUCUCUAAUCCUAUGAUUUCAAAGAUGAUUGGAAGUUUGCUAGAAACCCCGAUAGUCCAUACUGUAAACGAUGCCCGCUUGAUGUUGCAAGCUCUACGGGAGCUUGCAGUGUCGGAGCGUAGGUGUUAAGCGGGCCACCUGGGGAGUACGGCCGCAAGGUUGAAACUUAAGGGAAUUGGCGGGAGAGCACACAAGGGGUGGAGGCUGCGGUUUAAUUGGAUUCAACGCCGAACAACUCACAAGGGUCGACAGCAGAAUGAAGGUCAGCCUAACGGGUUUACCAGACAAGCUGAGAGGUGUUGCAUGGCCAUCGUCAGCUCGUACCUUGAGGCGUGCGGUCAAGUCCGUUAACGAGCGAGACCCACGCUAUCAUUUGCCAUCAUGUUUUCAGAUAAUAUCAAAAAAAUAUGAGCACUAUGGUAGGACUGCUGGUGAUAAAUCAGAGGAAGGAGUGGGCGACGGUAGGUCCGUAUGGCCCGGAUACCCUUGGCUACACGCGGCCUACAAUGGUUAGGACAAUGUGUUGCAACGCCGAAAGGCGAAGCCAAUCACCUAAACCUAACCUCAGUUCAGAUUGAGGUCUGUAACUCGGCCUCAUGAAGCCGGAAUCCCUAGUAAGCAAACGUCAUAAUCGUUCGCUGAAUACGUCCCUGCUCUUUGCACACACCGCCCGUC
rnacentral:rRNA from 1 species